UACGUAGGCAGCAAGCGUUGUUCGGAAUUACUGGGCGUAAAGAGUGUGUAGGUGGUGUCGUAAGUUUGGUGUGAAAUCUCCCGGCUUAACUGGGAGGGUGCGCCGAAGACUGCGAUGCUGGAGUAUGGGAGAGGAAAGCGGAAUUCCUGGUGUAGCGGUGAAAUGCGUAGAUAUCGGGAGGAACACCUAUGGCGAAGGCAGCUCGCUGGGACGUUACUGACGCUGAGACGCGAAAGCGUGGGGAGCAAACAGG
rnacentral:rRNA from 1 species